rnacentral:rRNA from 1 species
GACGAACGCUGGCGGCGUGCUUAACACAUGCAAGUCGAACGGAAAGGCCCUGCUUUUGUGGGGUGCUCGAGUGGCGAACGGGUGAGUAACACGUGAGUAACCUGCCCUUGACUUUGGGAUAACUUCAGGAAACUGGGGCUAAUACCGGAUAGGAGCUCCUGCUGCAUGGUGGGGGUUGGAAAGUUUCGGCGGUUGGGGAUGGACUCGCGGCUCAUCAGCUUGUUGGUGGGGUAGUGGCUUACCAAGGCUUUGACGGGUAGCCGGCCUGAGAGGGGGACCGGCCACAUGGGGACUGAGACCAGGCGCAGCCUCAGACGGGAGGAAGAGGGGGGGAAUAGUGCGCAAUGGGCGGAAGCCGGACGCAGCGACGCCGCGUGGGGGAGGAUGGCCUUCGGGUUGUAAAGCGCUUUCCGCAGGGACGAAGGGAAAGUGACGGUAUGGGAAAAAGAAGCACCGGCUAACUACGUG